AGAGUUUGCAUGCCACAACUAAGACCUGGGGCAGUCAAAAUUAGAUUCAAUCAGCCAGUGUUCACAGAGCCCAAGCUACGCCAGUGCUGUUCUGAGCACAGGCAUGGGGACGGUGCACCAAGUGGACAAAACAGGAUCUGUCUUCCAGAAGCUUGCUUUCCAGUGAACGUAGGGACAAGGACAAAACCGUCACAUGCACAAGCUUCCUUGCGGCAGGUAGAGACAGACAAUUCUUAUCUGACAAAGCUUCAAGAAACCCACCAACAACCCACCAGAAAAACGGGCCAACAACAGGUACAGCGCACACAGAGAGAUGCAGACGAGCACUUCUCUCCCACCAC